AUGUCCUCGCGACUGUGGCUCUGGUGCUUCUGCCUGGGCGGUUGCCGGCUGGCCGCCAGGAAGCGCCCUACAGCUCCGGCUGGGCAUCCAAGUGUUUGUGAAGAACAGCAAGUGACUGUGGUUGGACUUGCACACCCAUGUGUUUGGGCAUUCACACACAUUGUCAAGCUCUGCAAACAAGGCUGUACUGGCUCAAGUUGGUAUGUGAGCUAUGAAAGAAGGCGGUACUACACCAUCUAUGGACAGGUGUACAACAUGGAGCAGCAGCCUGUCUACUGGUGCUGCCCUGUUUGGAACCAGUGGGAUGAUGAACUGGGAUUUUAGCUAUCGCUGCAGUGGGAACUUGUUUCAAUGGAAGAAAAUGCUCAGAUGGUGAAGGCCAGUAGUGCCAGUGUUCAGAGGGAUUUCAUGGACCCCACUGUCGAUAUAAAUGAAUGUACCAUUGACAAUGGUGGCUGUCAAGAUCGAUGCUGUAAUACAGUUGGCAGUUAUUACUGCAAAUGUCAAGCUGGCCAGAAGCUGGAGGAAGAUGGCAAAGGAUGUGGAUGUCGAUGAACGUGCAGUGGUGAAUGGAGGCUGCCAGCAGCGCUGUAUUAACACUCUGGGCACCUUCCACUGUGAAUGUGAUACGGGAUAGAGACUGCAUGCUGAUGAACGCACCUGCAAGGGAUUGAAUUGGAAAUUGUCAAUAGCUGUGAAAAGAACAAUAGUGUUUGUUCCCAUCACCGUGAACAUGAAAUUGGUGCUCCCCGUUGUUCCUGUAACCAUGGACACCAGCUUGAUUCUGAUGAGAAAACAUGCAGAUCUUGACGAAUGUGAGAAUGGAGAAGCCUGCUGUGCCCAGCUCUGCAUCAACUAUUUAGGAGGCUACAAAUGCAGAUGUCAGGAAGGCUUUCAGAUCACUUCCAAUGGUUGUGAAUGUGGCUUUAGAUGAUGAUGAGCUAGAGGAAGAAGAAGAGGAAUGAGAAGUUGUGAGGUUUCCAGGUCUUCUAUUCAAGAGCCCACCUCAACAGCUUCAUUAUGUUGCUACUUUUCUGCCUCCCACCUACAAAGAUGAAGAAGAUGAGGAGGAAGAGGAAAAAGAUAUUCAUAGAGAACUGACUGCUUUGCACAAUUUUGGUGUGUUUAGAUCACAUCUUUGGACACAAUUGCAGCUUGAGCUGCAAGGACUGCAUGAAUGGAGGAAAGUGCCAGGAAGGAAAGAGUGAAUGCUCCUGCCCAGCAGGUUGCCGUGUCAUUCUUUGUAAUGAAAGUAAGUUUAAUAUUUUCUUCAUUUGUCCUCUCACCUUCCAGGAUGCCCAAAAGGGUUCUUUGGGAAGAACUGCAAAAGGAAAUGUAACUGUGCCAACAAUGGCCAUUGCCACAGGAUGUAUGGCGCCCAUAUGUGUGAGCCAGGGCGCCAUGGGAGGUUUUGUCAUCUGAUGUCUCGAGGAUGCCUACGGAGCUGGCUGCACUUCAGAAUGUCAGUGUGUGGAGGAGAAUACCCUGGAAUGCAGUGCCAAAAAUGGUAGUUGCACCUGCAAAUCUGGUUACCAAGGCAACAGAUGCCAGAAAGGUAUGCUC
rnacentral:lncRNA from 1 species